CAACUACUCCCUCUGUCCCAAAUUUCUUGUCUUAGAUUUGUCUAGAUACGGAUGUAUCUAAUACUAAAAUGUGACUUGAUACAUCCGUAUCUAGACAAAUCUAAGACAAGAAUUUUGGGACGGAGGGGGUACUAU
rnacentral:pre_miRNA from 1 species